UUAGCCAUUUUCGUACUCUCUUUCAACCAGAAGUUAGCCAAACAAAUCCAAAGUUCAUUUGAAAAACAUUCUUCUUCCUUUGUUAUUCUUCUUGAAUAAGUGAAUCUGGAAAAACAACUAAGGCCAAAGGCAUCAAGUUCAUCAAAAAACGUCAAUCGCAAGAUAGAGAUCAAGAUCUUUCUUUCCCGGUGAUCGAGAAGAUUUCUCUCAUGGAUUCAGCUUCGGUCUUCGGUCUUCAUGGAACGGCUUCCUCUGUUUUGCGCGUACUCUCCUGACCACCGGAUCUGCUUCCUCUGUUAGGAUUGGAAAAGGAAGCGUCUUCAGUUGUCCGUAACGCAACAUUAACUUCUGAUGCUUUGUUUCUCAAAAAAGAAAACUUAUGAUGCUUUGGGUUCUCGAGAUGGUGGCACUUAUUUAGCUUCAUGGUUCUCAAUAUUCCAAAGGUGA